rnacentral:rRNA from 1 species
AACGAACGCUGGCGGCAGGCCUAACACAUGCAAGUCGAGCGCACCCUUCGGGGUGAGCGGCGGACGGGUGAGUAACGCGUGGGAACGUGCCCUUCUCUGAGGAAUAGCCUCGGGAAACUGAGAGUAAUACCGCAUACGCCCUUUGGGGGAAAGAUUUAUCGGAGAAGGAUCGGCCCGCGUUGGAUUAGGUAGUUGGUGGGGUAAUGGCCCACCAAGCCGACGAUCCAUAGCUGGUUUGAGAGGAUGAUCAGCCACACUGGGACUGAGACACGGCCCAGACUCCUACGGGAGGCAGCAGUGGGGAAUCUUAGACAAUGGGGGCAACCCUGAUCUAGCCAUGCCGCGUGAGUGAUGAAGGCCUUAGGGUUGUAAAGCUCUUUCAGCUGGGAAGAUAAUGACGGUACCAGCAGAAGAAGCCCCGGCUAACUCCGUG